rnacentral:rRNA from 1 species
GUCCCAGACUCCUACGGGAGGCAGCAGUGGGGGAUAUUGCACAAUGGGGGAAACCCUGAUGCAGCGACGCCGCGUGAGUGAAGAAGUAAUUCGUUACGUAAAGCUCUAUCAGCAGGGAAGAAAAUGACGGUACCUGACUAAGAAGCCCCGGCUAACUACGUGCCAGCAGCCGCGGUAAUACGUAGGGGGCAAGCGUUAUCCGGAUUCACUGGGUGUAAAGGGAGCGUAGACGGCGACGCAAGUCUGGAGUGAAAGCCCGGGGCCCAACCCCGGGACUGCUCUGGAAACUGCGGCGCUGGAGUACGGGAGGGGCAGGCGGAAUUCCUGGUGUAGCGGUGAAAUGCGUAGAUAUCAGGAGGAACACCGGUGGCGAAGACGGCCUGCUGGACUGCGACUGACGUUGAGGCCCGAAAGCGUGGGGAGCAAACAGGAUUAGAUACCCCCGUA